AAUCUUGGAUUAUUUGGGUCACUUUUCCAAAAUAGGCCAGCAUCUAGAAAAACAUCUUCCACUUCAGACAGAAUGAAGGUAAAGACAACAUAGCUUUACAAGAGAAAAAUGAGCUGGUUUCAUCACAUGCCUUGAUAGUUGGUCAGCAAAUUUAAUCCAGCCUCUGGCCUCUGUUGAUUCAUUAUAUUCAAAUGAGAUCCUGGAUGAGUACAUAAAUCUGGAUGAAGAACAAUGAAAGUGAAUUCUCUGCCACAUACUUUAUGAUGUUUCAAGUCCCAAGAAAAAAUCUGUCCUGGGCUUCACUGUAAGAUGAGAAUCCUGAGACUCAGUACAACCAAUGCUGUAGAACUGGGGCUGGAGCACUCAGAGAAGUGGAGAUUCAGGUAUAGGGAUCAUGCUGCACCAGAGCUGACAAAUGGAUGCCAAAAGCAAAGAAUCAUCAUAUGUGAAGCCCAAAAGUAUUAUAGAGAUUAUCUAGAUCCAAAACCGUAUUCUUCAGAAGAAGAAAUGAAUGCAUGCAGAGAAGAAAUGGAUUGCCCCAAGGUCAGCUAAUGAUAUUGUUGAAAUUGGAAUCUAUGCCUCCCUAACUUUAAAACCAGUUCUCUGUCCACUAAAAUAGAAUACAUGGAAGAUGGUGUGACUCCAGAGGACAUGUAAUUGAAUUCUGAGAUGCUGUCAAAUAUUAAGAAUGAAUAGUUGCAAGCUCUUCAUUGAACAAUGACAAAGACACUCAUCUUACUUUUCCUCUGAGAAAUAUCAGACUAGAGACUGGUUUUGCAAGUUUAGCUUCUAAGAUACAAACUCCCGGAACAUAUAAUCUUUUCUUUUACCUCUCUAAGCUGGUCUAAUGCCUAGAGCUUGCAUUAAGUUUAUAGCUACUCUUCUCUGUUAAUUUGAUAAAGAAUAAUAUCUAUUUUAUCCUGAAAUGUUUUUGUCUUCUAGGACAUUUUGCUUACACUUACCAAUACAAUUUGAUUUUGUGGGUGAGAUUCGCUGAGACUUGGGUUAUUAAAGGUUUAUUUCCUGGGGUAAGAAAAGAUUUUCCCCUUCCUUUAAUGAGUGUGGUUGCGAUUAUCUAAGUAGUUUUAGAAGUUAAGAUCGCUGAUGUAUCUGAGAGAAGCCAGCAAUCAUCUGUGUGUUUCAACCUUCAGUUCUUUGGCUCAUAGCCCAUUCUGUGUUUUCCCCAGAUUUUGGUCAGCUUUAGGUAAAAUAUACUGUAUGAUUUUGGAGUCAUGAUAAACUUAUUCUUUUUGAAUAUGAUUUGUGAUGUUACUGACUCUUUGUCUU